CACGCCGUAAACGUUGGGCGCUAGGUGUGGGGAACUUUCCACGUUCUCCGUGCCGCAGCUAACGCAUUAAGCGCCCCGCCUGGGGAGUACGGCCGCAAGGCUAAAACUCAAAGGAAUUGACGGGGGCCCGCACAAGCGGCGGAGCAUGCGGCUUAAUUCGAUGCAACGCGAAGAACCUUACCUGGGCUUGACAUAUGGGGAAAUCCGGUAGAGAUACCGGGUCCGCAAGGGCCUCAUACAGGUGG
rnacentral:rRNA from 1 species